ensembl:lncRNA
AGAUCCCUCCAUACUGGAGGCCUUCUAAGGUUGUAAUACUUGUCCUUUCAAGUAACUGUUACACGUGCUGAGGCUCUGCAUUCCAGGAUAUCUGCCUAAGUUCAAUGUUUUUGUUUGUCCAAGCCUUCAUCUCCUCAGCCGUGCAAGAGAUUUCUCCAAGACUCAUUAGGACACAGUUUGUUGUGUUUACUAAAAGCCAUGAUGCUCUAAGUGAAAAGGAAAACGGCAAAUUGAAUCCAGAAGUCACCCAAUUAUUUAAAUUAGCGUAAACCUAACAGGAUUUUUUUUUCAAAAUUGGAAGGACCUAGCAAGACCAGUCAACUUGACAGGGGAAAGUAAAAGUCAUGAGGAUUAGAUGUGCAAUGGAAGUUAAAAAAUUGAAAAAAAGAAAGAAAGAAAAUUAUCUGUAGCUAACUGGAGAAGGACAUGCUCAUCAGUAUGAGUAGUUCCAUGGGAACAUUUGCUUUAAGCAUAACACCUCUUUAUUUCCAGUUUUCAAUUCACGAGAAUUGCUGUCAUUAAAACAGGAAUAUUUUAAUUUUUUCUUUUCUUUUUUUAACUUUUUCACAAAU